CACCGCCGCGGGAAUACGGAGGGUGCAAGCGUUAAUCGGAAUUACUGGGCGUAAAGCGCACGCAGGCGGUCUGACAAGUCAGAUGUGAAAUCCCCGGGCUUAACCUGGGAACUGCAUUUGAAACUGGCAGGCUAGAGUCUUGUAGAGGGGGGUAGAAUUCCAGGUGUAGCGGUGAAAUGCGUAGAGAUCUGGAGGAAUACCGGUGGCGAAGGCGGCCCCCUGGACAAAGACUGACGCUCAGGUGCGAAAGCGUGGGGAGCAAACAGGAUUAGAUACCCCAGUAGUCCCUGUCUCUUAUACA
rnacentral:rRNA from 1 species